AUUGAACGCUGGCGGCAUGCCUUACACAUGCAAGUCGAACGGCAGCACGGGGCAACCUGGUGGCGAGUGGCGAACGGGUGAGUAAUGCAUCGGAACGUACCUUUCAGUGGGGGAUAACGUAGCGAAAGUUACGCUAAUACCGCAUAUUCUUUGAGCAGGAAAGCAGGGGAUCGCAAGACCUUGCGCUGAUUGAGCGGCCGAUGUCAGAUUAGCUAGUUGGUGAGGUAAAGGCUCACCAAGGCGACGAUCUGUAGCGGGUGUGAGAGGAUGAUCCUGCAGCCGGGAACGGAGGGACAGCCGAGUCCCCUAAGGGAAGCAGCAGUGGGGUAUUUUGGAUAAUGGGGGCCACCGUGAUGCAGCCAUGCGGCGUGAGUGAUGAUGGCGUUCGGGUUGUGAAGCUCUGUCGGCCGAAAAGAAAUCGUAUCAUCUAAUACCUGGUGCGGAUGACGGUACCGGCGUAAGAAGCACCGGCUAACUACGUGCCAGCCGCCGCCGUAAGAC
rnacentral:rRNA from 1 species